rnacentral:rRNA from 1 species
AAGCCGCGAGGCAGAGCGAACCCCAAAAAGCCGUCCCAGUUCGGAUCGCAGGCUGCAACCCGCCUGCGUGAAGUCGGAAUCGCUAGUAAUCGCGGAUCAGCAUGCCGCGGUGAAUACGUUCCCGGGCCUUGUACACACCGCCCGUCACACCAUGAGAGUCGGGAACACCCGAAGCCCGUAGCCUAACAGCAAUGAGGGCGCGGUCGAAGGUGGGUUCGAUAAUUGGGGUGAAGUCGUAACAAGGUAUC